ACGGGUGAGUAGCGCGUGGGAACCUGCCCUCUUGUGGGGGAUAACCGCGGGAAACUGCGGCUAAUACCGCAUAAGCCGGGUCUCUUGAGAGAGAGGUCCGGGAAAGAUUUAUCGCGAGAGGAGGGGCCCGCGUCGGAUUAGCUAGUUGGUGGGGUAACGGCCUACCAAGGCAGUGAUCCGUAGCUGGUCUGAGAGGAUGAUCAGCCACACUGGGACUGAGACACGGCCCAGACUCCUACGGGAGGCAGCAGUGGGGAAUAUUGGACAAUGGGCGCAAGCCUGAUCCAGCAAUGCCGCGUGAGUGAGGAAGGCCUUAGGGUUGUAAAGCUCUUUCACCCACGACGAUGAUGACGGUAGUGGGAGAAGAAGCCCCGGCUAACUUCGUGCCAGCAGCCGCGGUAAUACGAAGGGGGCGAGCGUUGUUCGGAUUUACUGGGCGUAAAGGGCGCGCAGGCGGCCAUCUUUGUCAGGCGUGAAAGCCCCGGGCUUAACCUGGGAAUGGCGCUUGGGACGGGUUGGCUAGAGAUCGGGAGAGGAGCGUGGAAUUCCCAGUGUAGAGGUGAAAUUCGUAGA
rnacentral:rRNA from 1 species